UACAGAGGGGGCAAGCGUUGUUCGGAAUUACUGGGCGUAAAGGGCGCGUAGGCGGCCUGUUAAGUCGAACGUGAAAUCCCCGGGCUCGACCCGGGAACUGCGUCCGAUACUGGCAGGCUUGAAUCCGGGAGAGGGAUGCGGAAUUCCAGGUGUAGCGGUGAAAUGCGUAGAUAUCUGGAGGAACACCGGUGGCGAAGGCGGCAUCCUGGACCGGCAUUGACGCUGAGGCGCGAAAGCCAGGGGAGCAAACGGG
rnacentral:rRNA from 1 species